rnacentral:rRNA from 1 species
CAAUGCAGCCAUAUCACCCUACAACUCACAACUGGCAACCCACUGAAGCUAAGCAGGUGUGAGCCUGGUCAGUACCUGGAUGGGAGACCUCCUGGGAAAAAACUAAGGUUGCUGCUGGAA